rnacentral:rRNA from 1 species
UACGAAGGGUGCAAGCGUUACUCGGAAUUACUGGGCGUAAAGCGUGCGUAGGCGGUUUGUUAAGUCUGUCGUGAAAUCCCCGGGCUCAACCCGGGAACUGCGUCCGAUACUGGCAGGCUUGAAUUCGGGAGAGGGAUGCGGAAUUCCAGGUGUAGCGGUGAAAUGCGUAGAUAUCUGGAGGAACACCGGUGGCGAAGGCGGCAUCCUGGACCGAUAUUGACGCUGACUGCGCGAAAGCCAGGGGAGCAAACGGG